GAACGUAGAUAACAAUCUGUUAAAUCCUACUGUGUAGACGAGUGACAUAAAUAAAUAAAAGCUCAUGUGAAGUGGAACUAAAUCAGAUUCUUCACUUCAGGACAUUUCUGCAGGAGACCAGCAACCAUUCCACUGCUGCACAGGAACAAUGGGAAAUGUGGGAACAUUCAUCACUGUUCACAAUAAAACAGAUUACACAUUGACCAUCUGCCUUGAGUCUGGGGGUUAUUGUAUAAUUUGUCAUAAAAUCACAGUUAAACCUCGAGAAGAUAUAACGGAAAAUUACUCGACUCGCUCCGCUUGGGCCUCUUUUAAGGUGAAGCUUGGUGACUGCACAGAGCAAGAAUGGUGUAAAAAAACAGAUUUGUGGUGCGAGUUUAAUCCAAGAGAUAACCCAGAAUUCACAAUUAAAGAAAGUAAUGACCGCGAAUAUAUAGAACUGGACUGCAACAAAAAUCAUGAGAUGAAGAAACCAACAUGCCCAAAAGAAGGGAAGAAAUAAAAAUGAUGACUGAGAGGAAGAAGUGCAGCGACGUCAGACUCGGUGUGAAGGCAAAAGAGGAA